UGCCCAAGAGAUCGGGAUAACACCUGGAAACAGAUGCUAAUACCGGAUAACAACAGAUGAUGCCUAUCAACUGUUUAAAAGAUGGUUCUGCUAUCACUCUUGGAUGGAACUGCGGUGCAUUAGCUAGUUGGUAGGGUAACGGCCUACCAAGGCGAUGAUGCAUAGCCGAGUUGAGAGACUGAUCGGCCACAUUGGGACUGAGACACGGCCCAAACUCCUACGGGAGGCAGCAGAG
rnacentral:rRNA from 1 species